GAUGAACGCUAGCUACAGGCUUAACACAUGCAAGUCGAGGGGCAGCGGUAUCGAAAGCUUGCUUUCGGUAGCCGGCGACCGGCGCACGGGUGAGUAACGCGUAUCGAACCUGCCUCAUACUCGGGAAUAGCCUUGCGAAAGUAAGAUUAAUGCCCGGUGUUUUCAGAGUCCCGCAUGAGGCUUUGAACAAAGAUUUAUCGGUAUGAGAUGGCGAUGCGUCCCAUUAGCUUGUUGGCGGGGUAACGGCCCACCAAGGCAUCGAUGGGUAGGGGUUCUGAGAGGAAGGUCCCCCACAUUGGAACUGAGACACGGUCCAAACUCCUACGGGAGGCAGCAGUGAGGAAUAUUGGUCAAUGGGCGGAAGCCUGAACCAGCCAAGUAGCGUGCAGGAAGACGGCCCUCCGGGUUGUAAACUGCUUUUAGUUGGGAAUAAAACGGGGCUCGUGAGCCCCCUUGCAUGUACCAUCAGAAAAAGGACCGGCUAAUUCCGUG
rnacentral:rRNA from 1 species